rnacentral:rRNA from 1 species
UACGGGGGGGGUAAGCGUUGUUCGGAAUUACUGGGCGUAAAGGGCUCGUAGGCGGCCAACUAAGGCAGACGUGAAAUCCCUCAGCUUAACUGGGGAACUGCGUCUGAUACUGGAUGGCUUGGAUUCGGGAGAGGAAUGCGGAAUUCCAGGUGUAGCGGUGAAAUGCGUAGAUAUCUGGAGGAACACCGGUGGCGAAGGCGGCAUUCUGGACCGAUAUUGACGCUGAGGAGCGAAAGCCAGGGGAGCAAACGGG